CAAUAGCGUAUACUAAUGUUGUUGCAGUUAAAAAGCUCGUAGUUGAACUUCUGGUAGGAGUGUCCCGGCCUUUUUGUUUUUACAAAUUGUAUGCUGUGUGACAUCUCUGGCCAUCCUUCUUCUUUGUUUAAAGAAGAUCUUUCACUGUAAAAAAAUUAGGGUGUUCAAAGCAAAAGUUUCUUUGGAAUAUAUUAGUAUGGGAUGAUAAGAUAGGCUCUAGAUGCUAUUUUGUUGGUUUGCACAUUUAGAGAAUGAUUAACAGGGACAGUUGGGGGUAUUCGUAUUUACAUGUCAGAGGUGAAAUUCUUGGAUUUUGGAAAGACGAACUACUGCGAAAGCAUUUACCAAGGAUGUUUUCAUUAA
rnacentral:rRNA from 1 species